rnacentral:rRNA from 1 species
CCUACGGGAGGCAGCAGUGGGGAAUAUUGCACAAUGGGGGAAACCCUGAUGCAGCAACGCCGCGUGAGUGAAGAAGUAUUUUGGUAUGUAAAGCUCUAUCAGCAGGGAAGAAAAUGACGGUACUCUAAGAAUAAGCACCGGCUAACUACGUGCCAGCAGCCGCGGUAAUACGUAGGGUGCGAGCGUUAAUCGGAACUACUGGGCGUAAAGGGUGCGCAGGCGGUUGAGUAAGACAGAUGUGAAAUCCCCGAGCUUAACUCGGGAAUGGCAUAUGUGACUGCUCGACUAGAGUGUGUCAGAGGGAG